CAGUUCAAGCCAUUCUCGUGCCUCAGCCUCCUGAGUGUCUGGGAUUACAGCCAUGUGUCACCAUGCCUGCCUGGCUAAUUUUUGUAAUUUUAGUAGAGAUGGUGUUUCGUCAUAUUGACCAGGCUGGUCUUGAACUCUUGAUCUUAAGUGAUCCGCCCACCUCAGCCUCCCAAAGUGCUGGGAUUACAGGCGUGAACCACCGCACUAGGCCUAUUAUUCAGUUUUGAUGCCAGUAGAAUUCUAAGUUAAUAAUAGUAAUAAAUAUAAAGGAGCAAAUAAGAAAAAAUGACAGGAUUAUAACAAUCCAAUUUUAAACAUGGAAACUGACUCACAGUACACUGUAUAUGUGAAUGUACUGUACUUUUACAUCAUAAAUAGGUAAUCCCCAAUAAGCUCAAUGAUUUAUCAAAAUUUCUACCUGGUUUACUGCACUCUUCUGGUUCACUCUGGCUUUGAAUGGUCAAAAUCUCUGUGGAGCUGAAUUUUAUAUCCCCGAUAUCCUCAAUUCCAUGCUUGUUAGUAAGAUCUGAAAAGGAAGAAACUCUGUUAUUAGCAAAUGUACCAUUAAAUUAAUUUUCUGUAACCUUGUUCAGUGGCAUUUUCCUUUUAAAGUAUCUUUAUUGUUUUAUUGCAUGUCAAUUUUUCCUUUUAGAGAGAAGUAGAGAUUUAUACUUCUGAAGAAAAUGCUAACUUAGGUAAAUAACUAUUCCCCCAUGCACACUCCUUGUUGCCCUUCAACUGUCAAUCAGAAUUACCCAAGGAAAAUAAAAAUGGCAAAAUCUACAUAAUCACUGGAAGAGACGUUUUAAACCUGAAAGUCAUACAAAGAGAAUGACGGCUGGGUGCAGUGGCUCAUGCCUACAAUCUUAGCACUUUGGGAGGCCGAGGCGGGCAGAUCACCUGAGGUCAGGAGUUCAAGACCAGCCUGAUCAACAUGGAGAAACCCCAUCUCUACUAAAAAUACAAAAUUAGCCAGGUGUGGUGGUGCAUGCCUGUAAUCCCAGCUACUCGGGAGGCUGAGGUGGGAGAAUCGCUUGAACCUGGGAGGCGGAGGUUGUGGUGAGCUGAGAUCUUGCCAUUGCACUCCAGCCUGGGCAACAAGAGCGAAAUUUUGUCUCGACAACAACAACAACAACAACAACAAGAAAAUGACAAUGAGAAAAUAAUCUCAUCAAAAAUAAUCCUGAGAUUUCAACAUGUA
rnacentral:lncRNA from 10 species